rnacentral:rRNA from 1 species
UGGAUCCAGACUUUGAUCAUGGCUCAGGAUGAACGCUGGCGGCGUGCCUAAUACAUGCAAGUCGAACGAAACUUCUUUAUCACCGAGUGCUUGCACUCACCGAUAAAGAGUUGAGUGGCGAACGGGUGAGUAACACGUGGGCAACCUGCCCAAAAGAGGGGGAUAACACUUGGAAACAGGUGCUAAUACCGCAUAACCAUAGUUACCGCAUGGUAACUAUGUAAAAGGUGGCUAUGCUACCGCUUUUGGAUGGGCCCGCGGCGCAUUAGCUAGUUGGUGGGGUAAAGGCUUACCAAGGCAAUGAUGCGUAGCCGAACUGAGAGGUUGAUCGGCCACAUUGGGACUGAGACACGGCCCAAACUCCUACGGGAGGCAGCAGUAGGGAAUCUUCCACAAUGGGCGAAAGCCUGAUGGAGCAACGCCGCGUGGGUGAAGAAGGUCUUCGGAUCGUAAAACCCUGUUGUUAGAGAAGAAAGUGCGUGAGAGUAACUGUUCACGUUUCGACGGUAUCUAACCAGAAAGCCACGGCUAACUACGUGCCAGCAGCCGCGGCAAUACGUAGGUGGCAAGCGUUAUCCGGAUUUAUUGGGCGUAAAGGGAACGCAGGCGGUCUUUUAAGUCUGAUGUGAAAGCCUUCGGCUUAACCGGAGUAGUGCAUUGGAAACUGGGAGACUUGAGUGCAGAAGAGGAGAGUGGAACUCCAUGUGUAGCGGUGAAAUGCGUAGAUAUAUGGAAGAACACCAGUGGCGAAAGCGGCUCUCUGGUCUGUAACUGACGCUGAGGUUCGAAAGCGUGGGUAGCAAACAGGAUUAGAUACCCUGGUAGUCCACGCCGUAAACGAUGAAUGCUAAGUGUUGGAGGGUUUCCGCCCUUCAGUGCUGCAGCUAACGCAAUAAGCAUUCCGCCUGGGGAGUACGACCGCAAGGUUGCAACUCAAAGGAAUUGACGGA